rnacentral:rRNA from 1 species
GUAGUGGAUGGACAACGGGUUAAUAUUCCCGUACCUGCUCACACUAAAAGUGACGGAUCUCUGGAGUUGCUGCGUACUGACGGAAUAGUACGUUGAAGCAGUAAUGCGAUAGUACACUAAGGCUACGGCCGCGGUGAUAAUGUAGCGAAGGAGGUUCCAAGAAAAGCGAGUGAAGCAGCCUGUACCGUAAACCGACACAGGUGGUUGGGAUGAGAAUUCUAAGGUGCUCGAGAGAUUCAUGGCUAAGGAACUAGGCAAAAUCGACCCGUAACUUCGGGAGAAGGGUCGCCCUCCAAUGGAGGGCCGCAGUGAAGAGGUCCAGGCGACUGUUUAUCAAAAACACAGGACUCUGCAAAAUCGAAA